AUUGAACGCUGGCGGCAUGCCUUACACAUGCAAGUCGAACGGCAGCACGGGAGCAAUCCUGGUGGCGAGUGGCGAACGGGUGAGUAAUAUAUCGGAACGUGCCCGGUCGUGGGGGAUAACGUAGCGAAAGCUACGCUAAUACCGCAUACGAUCUACGGAUGAAAGCGGGGGAUCGCAAGACCUCGCGCGAUUGGAGCGGCCGAUAUCAGAUUAGGUAGUUGGUGAGGUAAAGGCUCACCAAGCCGACGAUCUGUAGCUGGUCUGAGAGGACGACCAGCCACACUGGGACUGAGACACGGCCC
rnacentral:rRNA from 1 species